UAGAGUUUGAUCAUGGCUCAGGAUGAACGCUAGCGACAGGCUUAACACAUGCAAGUCGAGGGGCAGCGGGGAGGUAGCAAUACUGCCGCCGGCGACCGGCGCACGGGUGAGUAACGCGUAUGCGACCUGCCCGUUGCAGGGGGAUAAUCGGGAGAAAUCCCGUCUAAUACCGCGUAAUGCCGCGGGGCUGCAUGGCCCUGCGGCCAAAGGGAGCGAUUCCGGCAACGGAUGGGCAUGCGUGACAUUAGCUAGUUGGCGGGGCAACGGCCCACCAAGGCGACGAUGUCUAGGGGUUCUGAGAGGAAGGUCCCCCACACUGGUACUGAGACACGGACCAGACUCCUACGGGAGGCAGCAGUGAGGAAUAUUGGUCAAUGGGCGCGAGCCUGAACCAGCCAAGUCGCGUGAGGGAUGACGGCCCUACGGGUUGUAAACCUCUUUUGUCGGGGAGCAAAUUCCGCCACGUGUGGCGGAGUCGAGAGUACCCGAAGAAAAAGCAUCGGCUAACUCCGUGCCAGCAGCCGCGGUAAUACGGAGGAUGCGAGCGUUAUCCGGAUUUAUUGGGUUUAAAGGGUGCGUAGGCGGACUGUCAAGUCAGCGGUAAAAUACGGGGGCUCAACCUCCGCCCGCCGUUGAAACUGACGGUCUUGAGUGGGCGAGAAGUAUGCGGAAUGCGUGGUGUAGCGGUGAAAUGCAUAGAUAUCACGCAGAACUCCGAUUGCGAAGGCAGCAUACCGGCGCCCAACUGACGCUGAAGCACGAAAGCGUGGGUAUCGAACAGGAUUAGAUACCCUGGUAGUCCACGCAGUAAACGAUGAAUACUAGCUGUCCGGGGCGAAUGAGCCCUGGGUGGCACAGCGAAAGCGUUAAGUAUUCCACCUGGGGAGUACGCCGGCAACGGUGAAACUCAAAGGAAUUGACGGGGGCCCGCACAAGCGGAGGAACAUGUGGUUUAAUUCGAUGAUACGCGAGGAACCUUACCCGGGCUCAAACGACACAGGAACGUACCUGAAAGGGUUCGGCUCUACGGAGCCUGUGUCGAGGUGCUGCAUGGUUGUCGUCAGCUCGUGCCGUGAGGUGUCGGCUUAAGUGCCAUAACGAGCGCAACCCCCAUCGACAGUUGCUAACAGGUCAGGCUGAGGACUCUGUCGAGACUGCCGGCGCAAGCUGCGAGGAAGGCGGGGAUGACGUCAAAUCAGCACGGCCCUUACGUCCGGGGCGACACACGUGUUACAAUGGCAGGUACAGCGGGAAGCCACCUGGCGACAGGGAGCGGAACCCGAAAGCCUGUCUCAGUUCGGAUUGGAGUCUGCAACCCGACUCCAUGAAGCUGGAUUCGCUAGUAAUCGCGCAUCAGCCACGGCGCGGUGAAUACGUUCCCGGGCCUUGUACACACCGCCCGUCAAGCCAUGGAAGCCGGGGGUGCCUGAAGUGCGCUGCCGCGAGGAGCGCCCUAGGGUAAAACCGGUGACUGGGGCUAAGUCGUAACAAGGUAGCC
rnacentral:rRNA from 1 species